rnacentral:rRNA from 1 species
CCUACGGGCGGCAGCAGUAGGGAAUCUUCCACAAUUGACGAAAGCCUGAUGGAGCAACGCCGCGUGGGUGAAGAAGGUCUUCGGAUCGUAAAACCCUGUUGUUAGAGAAGAAAGUGCGUGCGAGUAACUGUUCACGUUUCGACGGUAUCUAACCAGAAAGCCACGCCUAACUACGGGCCAGCAGCCGAGGUAAUACGUAGGUGGCAAGCGUUAUCCGGAUUGAUUGGGUGUAAAGGGAACGCAGGCGGUCUUUUAAGUCUGAUGUGAAAGCCUUCGGCUUAACCGGAGUAGUGCAUUGGAAACUGGGAGACUUGAGUGCAGAAGAGGAGAGUGGAAUUCGAGGUGUAGCGGUGAAAUGCGUAGAUAUAUGGAAGAACACCAGUGGCGAAAGCGGCUCUCUGGUCUGUAACUGACGCUGAGGUUCGAAAGCGUGGGUAGCAAACAGGAUUAGAUACCCCUGUAGUC